rnacentral:misc_RNA from 1 species
ACUUCUUAAAUAUCUGCAAAAUGACCUUGUUCAUCAUAGGAAAGAACUAAUUAAAUUUGGUUGGAAUCAUCUCAAACGUGAAGACAGUGCUAGUAAGCAGUGGGCCUUUGUCAAUGUUUGCCACUUCCUGGAGGCCUAUCAGGCCCCAGAAAAAAUUAUUCUUCAGGUCUUUGUUGCACUUCUUAGAACUUGCCAGCCUGAAAAUAAACUGCUGGUCAAGCAGGCCCUUGAUAUACUAAUGCCAG